GGCUUACUGCUGUGUUCGACUAGUUUGGUAGCUGGCCCGGACCGAUGUGAAUAUAAAGGGGUCAUAUCCCGAUCGGCCAUUGUCAUGCCUUCUCAGGAAGACAGGCGACCUUUCGGACGACCCCACCUUUUGAGCUUUCGGAACGUGGCUCACAGCGCCAAGGACGGCACAGCGGUUUACCU
rnacentral:other from 1 species